ensembl:lncRNA
CGGUUAUGACACUGUAAUAGGUCUCUUGUUGCUGGGUGGUUUUUCAAGUUCUUAAAAAAAUAAAAUAAAAUGACAAUUCUCUUUGAUGGCAGCAUUGUGACUCAUUGAAUGAAAGGACUAGGGAGCAGCUAGAUGCACCCAAAACCUCCCAGCUCCCUCCUGCCCCUUCCUCCCACCCCCAGCUUGCCACCCAAGUGUUCACAGCAUCACCUUCAGACAGGCUAAGCCCAGCUGAUGCAGGCUGAAUUUUCCGGAUCACCUUCUUCAUUUUACUCCUCGGACAACUCAUGCCCUGUCCUGCUCAGGUGGCGGGGUGCUUUGGGAGGAGCGUCUCCCUCAGCUGCAACGUGUGGAGCACAAAAUGUAGGCUGGGGAAGCAGCUGCGGGGACUGCUGGGGCCAGGGACCUGACCAAGCAUCGGGGCUCCUCCAGAGCUGCCUGCCCUCCGGUUUGGCCACAUGCAUAGCCCCGCAGCAGCCUGGCACGCUUCCUUAUCCGCAGCUGGCUGAGGACCGGAGCGAGGUGCCUGGUGAUCCCUGGGUUGGAGCCAGCCAAAAGCUGAAAGCCCGCAGAGGUGAAGUCCUCCGAGCCCGAUGCCACCCUGUUGCUUCCUGCUGGUAUCGUGCCCGCCACGUGCAUACAAGUGAUAUGGAAAGCAAUAAGGCGACUGAUUUUUGCUGGGAGGUUCCCCAGGGAAACGGGCUCUACAGCAGUGGUGUCCCACAUUGGCUCCUAAUCCAAUCUCAACGGGAAGUUCAAUUUCCUCAUCAUUAAUUAUUUAGCUGUAUUUAACUGCUGUAAAUUCUCAGAUUAAUUUUUUUAACUGUUGAGUUUGAUGACCUCUAAAGGCAUUGGCAUUAAGCAGUGCAAUAUGAAAUAUAGUUGCUUAAUGCAAAUAAAAGCUAACUCUUCCACGAGGAUUUGUGCGAA